rfam:Enterococcus dispar ATCC 51266 genomic scaffold acpMG-supercont1.1, whole genome shotgun sequence.
AUUUUCGGGUAAUCGCGGUCUAGCAAUAGGCUGAGGAAAGUCCAUGCUCGCACAAGCUGCGAUGCUUGUAGUGUUCGUGCCUGGCGAAACCAUAAGCCAGGGUACUAUUUUAGUAACGGCAGGAAAAAUUCCUAAGGCGUAAGCUAUGGAUCAGUAUCCUUGAAAGUGCCACAGUGACGAAGCGUUAAAGGAAACUUUAACGGUGGAACGCGGUAAACCCCUCGAGCGAGCAACCCAAACAAUGGUAGGGGCACUUCUUUGACGGAAUCAAACGAAUACAAGAAGGUAUCUUUAUGAUGCAGAUAGAUGAUUACCCCGUGGUUUUUGACCCUGAAAAAACUACGGACAGAACAUGGCUUAUAGAA